GACGAACGCUGGCGGCGUGCUUAACACAUGCAAGUCGAACGGAAAGGCCCUGCUUUUGUGGGGUGCUCGAGUGGCGAACGGGUGAGUAACACGUGAGUAACCUGCCCUUGACUUUGGGAUAACUUCAGGAAACUGGGGCUAAUACCGGAUAGGAGCUCCUGCUGCAUGGUGGGGGUUGGAAAGUUUCGGCGGUUGGGGAUGGUCUCGUGGCUUAUCAGCUUGUUGGUGGGGUAGUGGCUUACCAAGGCUUUGACGUGUAGCCGGGCUGAGAGGGUGACCGGCCACAUUGGGACUGAGAUGCGGCACAGACUCCUACGGGAGGCAGCGGUGGAGAAUAGUGCACAAGGGGAGGAAGCCUGAUGCAGCAACGCCGCGUGCGGGAUGACGGCAUUCGGGUUGUAAACCGCUUUCGCCUGUGACGAAGCGUGAGUGACGGUAAUGGGUAAAGAAGCACCGGCUAACUACGUG
rnacentral:rRNA from 1 species